rnacentral:tRNA from 1 species
CCUGGUGGCUCAGACGGUAAAGUGUCUGCCUGCAAUGCGGGAGACCCAGGUUCGAUUCCUGGGUCAGGA